rnacentral:rRNA from 1 species
CGGGAGGUGAGUAAUGUCUGGGAAACUGCCUGAUGGAGGGGGAUAACUACUGGAAACGGUAGCUAAUACCGCAUAACGUCGCAAGACCAAAGAGGGGGACCUUCGGGCCUCUUGCCAUCGGAUGUGCCCAGAUGGGAUUAGCUAGUAGGUGGGGUAACGGCUCACCUAGGCGACGAUCCCUAGCUGGUCUGAGAGGAUGCCAGCCACACUGGAACUGAGACACGGUCCAG